ACAUCUGCAUGGAUCACGAUGCAGAUGGACGUCAAUAAUGGUUUGAAGUAGGCGCGUGCCACCGCACUUUCGUGGUCGUGCAAAUUUUCGAGUAUCGAGAUGGAUUGUAGUAAUUUAGGUGUGACGCUGGCGACCGAAGCCACGGUGAAUGGCAACCAUAACUAUAACGGUCCUAAGGUAGCGAAACUUCUUGUCAAGUAAGUUUCGACCUGCACAAAAGAUG
rnacentral:ncRNA from 1 species